GUGUGAAUUGCAGAAUUCCGCGAAUCAUCGAGUCUUUGAACGCAAGUUGCGCCCGAGGCUUGUCCGAGGGCAUUCCCGUUAGAGCGUCACCGCGCCACCCACCGCUCCGACUCCCAGUCGAUGAAUGAGAGUCGGAGCUCGAGUGGAAUUGGCCGUCCCGACCGGCGCCCGAAAGCCGGUCGGGUCGGCUGAAAUGGAUGGAAUUUGGCCCCGCGGCGACCCGGCCCGCGAUCAGGUGACCCGCGCCGCGAUUGACUUCGCGGUCGCGGUUUUUAUCAAAAGCGCGCGGUUUUAAGGUGUCGUCCCAGAGUCGGUGUUGUUCCGCAGUAAAGCAGGUCUUUUUCCCCCCUUAAAGCCGCCGCCGGGUUCGAGAGGACUCGAGCGGCGGCCCAAGGGGGGGGGAAAAUUAAAACAGAUGGUCACGCAACGGACCUCUAAUCGGGAAAGAUCACCCGCUGAGUUUAA
rnacentral:rRNA from 1 species